UGUGGGGAGCGCUCUCGGGCUUGGAUCCGAGGCGGGCGGAGGAGAGAGGACCAGAGCUGAGACACCUGUCAGGUGUGGCUGGCUGGCUCGUAAUGGCGCCUCGAGUCCCCAGCAUCGACCGGCCCCGCAAAGCUGCACGCCGCAGAUGAGUCAGGAUCGGCAACAAUGCACUGAAUUGACGAUGCCGACGCGGGAGGAGUAACUUAGUCCUGGUGCACACGGGGUCACCUUCAGUAUGCAAGCGAGACGCUCCGGCCGUCACGGGAGCAAGGGGAACAGGCGAGAGCGCGCGGCUCGGUCUCGGGCUCGGGGCCCCGCGUCUCCGUGGGCAGUAAAGAGGGGCCGUGUUUGUUCUGGGGGACUCCUACCCUCCUCCUCUCACCUGAUAGACGGCGCUCACCGCAGCGAUCUGCCAGGCUGCCAGUGGAGGCAUGUCAGUCAGCAUGAAGGCCCAGGACUGCCCUGCCCCCCCUCCUCUCCCCUCCUCCCCUCAUCUCUUCUUCUCUGCUGCUCACACCCCAAUGUUCAGUCAUGUGUGCUGCCCAGCCCACACCUUCCACCGUGCUCCCAAAUCCUCGCUAACAGACGACCCAGGGCUUGAUUAGCGCACAAUGCCAGUGCCAUCUCAGCUGACCUGGGCACAAGGGCAUGAGGAGAACACCACCAGAAGCUGGCACUAGCCCUGGGCGAAUGCCCACCGACUGAGUUACAUGGCAAGUGCCGAUAACCGCGCAGGCACGGAUCCAUGAUCGCCAGGCGGAGAGAUCUCAAAGUAUGGGGCACGCGCUCACCUCCCCUGACGGACAAGCUGCUCGAGGAGCGAAGGCCACACAGAGACCAACAAUAUUUACUGAACAGAGCUAAACAGAAACUGAUGCCAUGAAGGAGGGCUGCUACCUUUUAUGGUGUUUUCAUAAAAGUCAAGAGGAUGUGGCAACCGUGUUUUGCUGUCUAUGAAGUGCUCAGGUUCAAGAGAAGACAGACUUUCAGGGGAAGGUGGGGAUUUUUUUUAUUUUUUAUAAUAGAAGAUGGCUUGUCUUCUCACAAUUCAAUGGCUGUUCUCGCUGAUUUAUU